AUAGAAAAAAGGAAAAAAAAAAGACUCUCUUCCUCCCCCGAUUCAUUUCUUCCCCUCGUCUCCCCCGCCGCCUCCCACCGGAGACCAAGAGCUGCGCCCUCUCCCCCUAACCCUAGGCCCCAGACCGAGUAGGUCAAGCGGCGGCCAUGGCGCCCCAAGGUCCGCCUCCUCCGUCUGGUUCCUGCUCGAUCUCCUCCAGCUCCAGAUCCUCCACAAUCUCGCGCGACGGGAGAGGAGCCUCCGCCUGCUUCUUCUCCGGCGACGGCGCGGCCGUGCGCCCCUGACGCCACUCUUCCGCGCGAGGAGAAAGCUGCCUGCAGCCCGGCUGCUCCGACCCUAGUGCCGGCGCCAUGGUCCAGGGCCAGAUUAUCCACAAUCUCGCGCUAAGGGAGAGGAGCCCCCGCGUGCUUCUUCUCCGGCGACCGCCCGGCCGUGCGCCCCUGAAGCCGCGUGAGGAGAAAGCUGCAUGCGGCCCGGCUGCUCCGACCCUAGUGCCGACGCCAUGGUCACCGGCAAGAUCCCCUUCUCCCUCUAUCGGCCCUCUUCUCCUCCCCGGCCACCGUCGUGGCCUUUGAGGACAAGGACGACGGCUGCGCGCUUGGCGUAGGCGGAUUCCACCAUCUCGUCAUCACCUUCCAGGUCGCUCUACACCCGGACAUGGGACUGGCGCGCGGGCGCCGACAUCUGUGCGCCCGAGAUCGUCGGAGCCGCAUCAGGCUGGUUAACAUCCUCUGCUACACCCCCGACGCGGGAGCGGGAUGCAUCGACCUCAACCCCCUGCCGCAGGAGGUCGAGGGCCGCCGGGACUGGGAGACCGCCGAGAUGCCGGGCAGAUUCAGCGCCGACCAGAGCGCCAAGGAGGUGGCCGUGCUCUACGUGGUGCCCGGCGACCGCGCCGGCCAGUUCCACGCCGAGAAGAUGGGCUACCAUGACGAGAUGGUCCUGCUCUGCUCCCAGGGCACCGCUGAGGUGCUCGUGCUGGCUGCCAGACCUUGAUAGUACUCGGAUUUCAUCCCCUUACGUCAGCUCAAUCGGGGACAUCUUCUCUACAGGCUCCAUCGGCCUCCUCUCCGGCGGAAGAUACUACUUGGAUUUCAUCCCCUACGUCAGCUCAUACGCGGAGAUCAUCUCUACAGUUGCGUCGACCAGAGCGCCAAGGAGGUGGCCGUGAUCUACAUGGUGCCCGGCGACCGCGCUGGCCAGUUCCACGAAGGAGGUGGCCGUGAUCUACAUGGUGCCAGACUUUGAUAAUACUUGGAUUUCAUCCCCUACGUCAGCUCAUUUGCGGACAUCUUCUCUACAGGUCGCUCUCCACCCGGACAUGGGAACAUCUGCGCGCUCGAGAUCGUCGGAGCCGAAUCAGGCUGGCGCACAUCCUCUGCUACACCCCCUACGCGGGAUGUGUCGACCUCAUCCCCCCGCCGCAGGAGGUCGAGGAGACCGGCAAGGAGGGAAACCUCAUCGUCGACCACAGCGCCAAGGAGGUGGCCGUGCUCUACAUGGUGCCCGGCGACCGCGCGGCCAGUUCCAUGCCGAGAAGAUGGGCUACCACGACGAGAUGGUCCUGCUCUGCUCCCAGGGCGCCGCUGAGGUGGUCGUGUGGGACCCAAUGACAGAGCUCGUGCUGGCUGGCGACUUACUCGGAUUUCAUCCCUACGUUAGCUCGUUCGCGGAGAUCUACA